CUCCACCGCUUCACUGCCCACCGACGAACUCCGCUCACCUCUUCCCCACCCCCACCUCCGAAAUUCAGUUGUUUCAAAUUUGGGGGUUAUUACCCCAGUUCCUUUCGAUUGCUCUCUGAUUAAACGAUUUAUUACCGAUUGCAAAGCCUUCACAAAUCCUACCUCGAUUCCAUCGCCAUCUACUUCUUCCCAACGGAGACCUGAUUUUACUUCAUCGUCGUCUACUUUUCCCUCUAUCGUUAUCAUUCUCUCUCCACCUGCCUCCACAAACCAUUUGUACCUUAUACCAUUUAACGCCUUUCUCCCAGUUGAAGUUGAAGACAAACACUGAAAUCGAUAUGUUUACUGUUUAGGGUUACCAUGCUCUGUUUCCAGGUUUGACGUUAUCAAUCUGGAAACAACAGUUAUUUUGAUGAUGGAGAAGAACCCAUGUACGGUAGGUAAACCCAUGUUACUAAAUAUUUUUCAUAUUGUGUUCUUUGGCUUUUAUUGCUCAACUCACAAGCUUGUAACCUACAAGAGCAGUUCCACAUGCUCGAGCAACAUUUGGAGGGCAUCUUCUGCAGUGUGAUUUCUAAUCUGUCUCAUAAUGAUGGUGUUCGUCUCUGUAUUGGAGGAUGAAAUCUUUUUACACCUAAAAACAAAAAAAAAAAAAAAAAAAAAAAAAAAAACUUCUACAGCACAAAUGGGACAUAUCACAACUGGCAAAAGUUACAUAUGAUAUAUGCACAAAGAAAAAGAAAUCUCCCCUGGUAUUUUAGAAAUCAUCCUAGAGGUGGGUUUGUGCAACCCCUCCCUCCUGGUCUGGGGUUCAUAGCCCUAACAUAUUUGUAAGUUUUUCAGUUGGGUCAAAUUGUUUUGUCAACUAGGUCCUUUGUUGAUGAAUAUGAUGGAAAAUUUUGUCCAGAUCAUCAACAUGGUGCAGAGAAUAAGUGCUUCCAUUUAUACUUAUGAAUUUAGUAGAAAACCCAAUUGCACUUCACAUGUUUGAUGAAAUGCCUCAAUGAGACAUAUGACUUUAAUUUUCACAAAAUGUAAGGUUACUUGUUUUUGAAUAUUUUCAACAAGAGGUGGUUUUAGAAAGGUGAUGGCUUGGGGUUUAGUUGCGCAACAUGAUAAUCUUCAUAUAAAUGAAUCUUUUUUCCAUCUAUGUUGUGUUUGUUAUGAUGCCUUAUCUUUCUUGUUUUUAAGGUAUAUGCGUUGACAUAGCAAGGUCAAAGCAUGAGCAUUGGUCAUCAUUUGCAUCUCUGCCAUUGGAAGUUGUCAUUCCGGCUGGACAAAAGGCAAGGGAGGAUUCUUAGCAAGGUGUCAAGUUCACCAACUUGACAAUUAUCACAUUCUUGUUUCAUUAUAUUUUUAAAUUUCUUUUAAAUUUGUUAUGAUGGAAUGAAAACAGGUGAUGAUGAUUCUAUAGGCAAAAUCGAUAUUCAUGCCAUCAAUGACAUAUAUGGGGACAAAAAAUAUCGAGAGUAUGCUUUAAGUUGAAAUGGGAAAAGGACUAAAGUUAUAAUUGAAUCUUCCAGGAUUGGUAGUGUGAUAGAAGAGGAAAAAGGACAGAUGCCAAUAUUUUAUAGUGGGAAGGUGAAUGUGUAUGAUGAUAUCCCAACUGAUAAGGAACGUGCCUUAUUACAGCUUGCUGCAAGCCCUCUUCAGUUUCCUCAUGAGGAUCCAGUUGAUGGAAACUUGUUGCAACAACCUCCAAACAUCAAUCUGCCAAUCUUGCGAACAGUGAGAACGACUAAUAACUAUCGAUUGAACAAAGAGGAAAGCAAUAUAUCGCAUGAAGAAAUCUCUGUUGAAGGUUUAGCAAGAAGAAAAGCAUCGGUGCAAAGAAAUCUAGAGAAGUGGAAAUAUAGGUAUUGUGUUACUUGGCUUCACUAUUUCCAGAAAACAUAAACUUGUUUUGGCAAGAUGAGUAUUCUUGCUCAAUGAUUUGUUUCCUACAAUGGAUAGUGCUUAUCAUGCUCGGCCAUCUGGCCAGACCUCUGCAUUGCCUCCUACAAGACAGUAGUACAAAUAAACCUGGUAGUGAAGUGAAGUCUUCUGAGAGACCUGGUAACACAUGAUUACAAAGAAGUUCCUCAAACCAAAUGCAACCACAAAGUGCCUCACACCUCCUGUAAGUUCUCAAAAGAAAAUAAUCGAUUAUGGCAUAAUUCCUCUGUUACGCCGCUUUUUAUUAAGUGAUGAUUAUGAGAAGUUAUCAGCAAUUGAAGCAUAUGAUGCACAAGACGAAUCUUACACAAUGGUCUGGAUCAAGCUUGCCUCUUCAGGAAGUUAGCUCGAUGCUGUUGGAAAAGCUUAUUGCAGCACGUAUUGGAGAUCGACCUGUUGUAUUUGUAACUCAUAGCAUGGGGGGAUUGGUUGUGAAACAGAUGCUACAUCAAGCAAGUGCAGAAAACAGAGGCAAUCUUGUCAAAAACAGUGUUGGUGUGUUACAGGACAUGAGUAUCGGCACAUCAUGGAACAUUUAGGUUAGUUGUUGUUUUUCCUCUUGGUGAUCCAUCAAUGAAGUGGCCAACAUCAUGUAAUAACAUUUUAGGGGAAGAUGUAUGUAUAUGUUUUUUUUAAUGAAUAAUGUAAUCA